AUUGAACGCUGGCGGCAUGCUUUACACAUGCAAGUCGAACGGUAACAGGCCGCAAGGUGCUGACGAGUGGCGAACGGGUGAGUAAUGCAUCGGAACGUGCCCAGUCGUGGGGGAUAACGCAGCGAAAGCUGUGCUAAUACCGCAUACGAUCUAUGGAUGAAAGCGGGGGAUCGCAAGACCUCGCGCGAUUGGAGCGGCCGAUAUCAGAUUAGGUAGUUGGUGGGGUAAAGGCUCACCAAGCCGACGAUCUGUAGCUGGUCUGAGAGGACGACCAGCCACACUGGGACUGAGACACGGCCCAGACUCCUACGGGAGGCAGCAGUGGGGAAUUUUGGACAAUGGGCGCAAGCCUGAUCCAGCCAUGCCGCGUGCAGGAUGAAGGCCUUCGGGUUGUAAACUGCUUUUGUACGGAACGAAACGGUUUGGCCUAAUACGCUGAACUCAUGACGGUACCGUAAGAAUAAGCACCGGCUAACUACGUGCCAGCCGCCGCCGUAA
rnacentral:rRNA from 1 species